UACAGAGGGUGCAAGCGUUGUUCGGAAUCAUUGGGCGUAAAGGGCGUGUAGGCGGUCUGUUAAGUCAUGUGUGAAAUCCCUCGGCUCAACCGGGGAACGACGCAUGAAACUGACAAGCUAGAGUACCAAAGAGGGGGGUGGAAUUCCUGGUGUAGCGGUGAAAUGCGCAGAUAUCAGGAGGAACACCGGUGGCGAAGGCGCCACUCUGGGCCGGUACUGACGCUGAGGCGCGAAAGCUAGGGGAGCAAACGGG
rnacentral:rRNA from 1 species